AUGCCUUUCCCAGAGCUGUGUGAGCACUGGCAUCUCUUGCCUUUUAUCUCCCAUUCAGCCUGCGGAGUGAAUAUCCCGAUCAUCCGCUCCUGGUGGGCAGCCCAGAGGUUUGGGGCUCUGCUUUGCUUCCUGCCUGAGAGCCCUGAUGGGGGAGCGCACACCAGGAUGGGAUGCAGCCUUUUUCCACGAGUGACUCACGUCAUGGUCCCAAGGGGAGGUGGGGAAGGCGAGGCUGCUCGAACACCUCUGUACCUCACAUGUACAACACCAGCAUGCUGCCUGCUGUGUCAGCUGGGAAGGGAGAAGUCCCAGCCUGCCCCUGCAGGGAGCAAGCUCCUGGGGUCUGCCUGGAGCCUGCGUCGACCAAGAUGCCACAAACCAGAUCUCUGCCUCUCUCUCCCUUCAAGUACACAGAAAGCUGACUUCUGUCUUGUCCUCACACAGCUUAAGCAUGAUGGCUGA
rnacentral:lncRNA from 1 species